rnacentral:rRNA from 1 species
GGGCCCGCACAAGCAGCGGAGCAUGUGGUUUAAUUCGAAGCAACGCGAAGAACCUUACCAGGUCUUGACAUCCAAUUAAAGCUAUUGAAAGAUAGUGUGUUUUCGGACAAAUUGAGACAGGUGGUGCAUGGUUGUCGUCAGCUCGUGUCGUGAGAUGUUGGGUUAAGUCCCGCAACGAGCGCAACCCUUGCUGUCAGUUAACAGCGGAUAAAGCCGGUGACUCUGACAGGACUGCCGGGGAUAACUCGGAGGAAGGUGGGGACGACGUCAAAUCAUCAUGCCCCUUAUGACCUGGGCUACACACGUGCUACAAUGGCCGAUACAGAGGGCAGCGAUAGGGUAACCUGGAGCGAAUCUCAGAAAAUCGGUCCCAGUUCGGAUUGUGGGCUGCAACCCGCCCACAUGAAGUUGGAGUUGCUAGUAAUCGCGAAUCAGAACGUCGCGGUGAAUGCGUUCCCGGGCCUU